UGAAUUUCGCUGGAGUUCUGCCGGA
rnacentral:miRNA from 1 species